CUUACCAUGCAGUCGAACGGAAAGGCCCUUCGGGGUACUCGAGUGGCGAACGGGUGAGUAACACGUGGGUGAUCUGCCCUGCACUUUGGGAUAAGCCUGGGAAACUGGGUCUAAUACCGAAUAUGAUCAUGCGCCUCAUGGUGUGUGGUGGAAAGCUUUUGCGGUGUGGGAUGGGCCCGCGGCCUAUCAGCUUGUUGGUGGGGUAAUGGCCUACCAAGGCGACGACGGGUAGCCGGCCUGAGAGGGUGUCCGGCCACACUGGGACUGAGAUACGGCCCAGACUCCUACGGGAGGCAGCAGUGGGGAAUAUUGCACAAUGGGCGCAAGCCUGAUGCAGCGACGCCGCGUGAGGGACGACGGCCUUCGGGUUGUAAACCUCUUUCAGCACAGACGAAGCGCAAGUGACGGUAUGUGCAGAAGAAGCACCGGCCAACUACGUGCCAGCAGCCGCGGUAAUACGUAGGGUGCGAGCGUUGUCCGGAAUUACUGGGCGUAAAGAGCUCGUAGGUGGUUUGUCGCGUUGUUCGUGAAAACUCACAGCUCAACUGUGGGCGUGCGGGCGAUACGGGCAGACUGGAGUACUGCAGGGGAGACUGGAAUUCCUGGUGUAGCGGUGGAAUGCGCAGAUAUCAGGAGGAACACCGGUGGCGAAGGCGGGUCUCUGGGCAGUAACUGACGCUGAGGAGCGAAAGCGUGGGGAGCGAACAGGAUUAGAUACCCUGGUAGUCCACGCCGUAAACGGUGGGUACUAGGUGUGGGUUUCCUUCCUUGGGAUCCGUGCCGUAGCUAACGCAUUAAGUACCCCGC
rnacentral:rRNA from 1 species